rnacentral:sRNA from 1 species
GUAUCUCUACUGAAUCUCUAAAAUACAGUCUUUGUAAUCUUUUACUUAUUCUGUUGGAGGGAUUGGGUUGGGUGAUUCGUACCCUCUAUACCACCAUGGCGCUGGUGGUGAUUGAGCUCUUUUGCCCUAGUGGCCUAAUAUUUGUCUACAGACUCUUACUAAUUCUAUGUUAACAUUCUCAUACUUACUAUAUUAUUACAAUGAACCUUCCAUCUUCUUCAAGAUAUAUAAAAUGUAAAAACUAAAAUGUUUGGAUUAUAGCUAUGUUUUUAUAUUUUUAUAGUAAAGAGAUGAAUAUGUAACAGGCG